rnacentral:rRNA from 1 species
CGGAGGAAAAGAAACUAACGAGGAUUCCCGUAGUAACGGCGAGUGAACUGGGAAGAGUCCAGCGCUGAAUCACUUCUCCUCUGGGGUUGUGAGGUGUAGCGUACAGACCGUGAGCUUGGGUUGGCCCGCUUGUUCAAGUUUCCCUUGAUCGGGGCUCCAGAGAAGGUGCAAGACCUGUCCAACGAGUGGUUGCCUAUCCAUCUUCGCGUGUCUUGGAGUCGGGUUGUUUGGGAUCGCAGCCCAAAGUAGGUGGUAAACUUCAUCUAAGACUGAAUACGGCCACGAGUCCGAUAGCGAACAAGUACCGUGAGGGAAAGUUGCAAAGCACUUUGAAGAGAGAGUUAAAGAGGACGUGAAACCGAUGAGGUGGAAACGGACAGAGCUGGCGUAUCUGGUCUGCAUUCAUCCGUGUGCUUUUGGGCGUUUGGGUUGCCACUCUCCAGACUGGGAUGGUGUUCAUUCUGUUCAGGGGCUCAUGGAGCAUUUGCAGGCGGAGUGCGCUGAGAUGCUCGGGGCAGCUGCAUGAGCUUGGCUUUGAGGCCAGCCCUUCGGGGUCUGGUACCCGGGCUGGGGGAGUGUUGUUUGUUCUGGGUGCUGAGUGGUGUGCAAUGGCAACGGGUCCGUGUUGGUUUGAGCUGGCGGUCGGUGGCGGUCGCGUGCGACACGUGCCAGCAGUCAGUUCGGUCCUGCUCGGGCUCUCAUUGCAUGUUCUCGGUGUAAAAGCCGGUCAUCUGUCCGACCCGUCUUGAAACACGGACCAAGGAGUUUAGCGUGUGCGCGAGUCAUUGGGAGUUGAAAACCCAAGGGCGUAAUGAAAGUGAAGGUCUCCUUGCGGAGCUGAUGUGUGAUCCCGUGCACCACGGUGUGCGGGCGCAACAUAGUCCCGUUCCUAUCGCAUGCGAUGGGGCGGAGACAGAGCGUACGCGCUGAGACCCGAAAGAUGGUGAACUAUUCCUGAGCAGGAUGAAGCCAGAGGAAACUCUGGUGGAAGUCCGAAGCGAUUCUGACGUGCAAA